rnacentral:rRNA from 1 species
GACAGAGGGUGCAAACGUUGUUCGGAAUUACUGGGCGUAAAGCGCGUGUAGGCGGCAAGGCAAGUCGGAUGUGAAAGCCCACGGCUCAACCGUGGAAGUGCACCCGAAACUGCCUAGCUAGAGUCUCGGAGAGGAAGGUGGAAUGCUUGGUGUAGAGGUGAAAUUCGUAGAUAUCAAGCGGAACACCGGUGGCGAAGGCGGGACUCUGGGCCGAUACUGACGCUGAGGAGCGAAAGCGUGGGGAGCAAACAGG